rnacentral:rRNA from 1 species
CCUACGGGAGGCAGCAGUGGGGAAUAUUGCACAAUGGGCGAAAGCCUGAUGCAGCGACGCCGCGUGAGGGAUGACGGCCUUCGGGUUGUAAACCUCUUUCAGUAGGGAAGAAGCGAAAGUGACGGUACCUGCAGAAGAAGCGCCGGCUAACUACGUGCCAGCAGCCGCGGUAAUACGUAGGGCGCAAGCGUUAUCCGGAAUUAUUGGGCGUAAAGAGCUCGUAGGCGGUUUGUCGCGUCUGCCGUGAAAGUCCGGGGCUCAACUCCGGAUCUGCGGUGGGUACGGGCAGACUAGAGUGAUGUAGGGGAGACUGGAAUUCCUGGUGUAGCGGUGAAAUGCGCAGAUAUCAGGAGGAACACCGAUGGCGAAGGCAGGUCUCUGGGCAUUAACUGACGCUGAGGAGCGAAAGCAUGGGGAGCGAACAGGUUUAGAUACCCUGGUAGUCCAUGCCGUAAACGUUGGGCACUAGGUGUGGGGGACAUUCCACGUUUUCCGCGCCGUAGCUAACGCAUUAAGUGCCCCGCCUGGGGAGUACGGCCGCAAGGGUAAAACUCAAAGGA